rnacentral:piRNA from 1 species
AAACAGUAGGAAGAGGAGAGAGGAUGGA